AAAGCCAGAAUGCCAAUGAGGAUACAAUAAAAAACUCUGAUAGCACAAGAAUAUGCUGAGACCAGCUCUCAUUUGAGCUCUGUGUUCAUCUCUGGACAACACAAGGAGGGUCACAGAGUCUGGGGAUCUCUCUGCAACAGUAGAGCAACACCAACAUUUUACAUUUCAGACAAGGGAAUCAGAUUAUUUUUUAUUGCUACCCCAAGACAUUUGUUGUGCAAAGAACCUACAGCUCACCAUUUCAUUUCCUCGGAAACUUCUCUGCCACCAGUAUCUUUACAAGCAGAAACGGGGAUUUUCUGUCACUCAGAAG